GAAAUGCGAUAAUUAAUGUGAAUUGCAGAAUUCAGUGAAUCAUCGAGUCUUUGAACGCACAUUGCGCCCCCUGGUAUUCCGGGGGGCAUGCCUGUCCGAGCGUCAUUGCUGCCCUCAAGCACGGCUUGUGUGUUGGGCUUCCGUCCCUGGCAACGGGGACGGGCCCAAAAGGCAGUGGCGGCACCAUGUCUGGUCCUCGAGCGUAUGGGGCUUUGUCACCCGCUCCCGUAGGUCCAGCUGGCAGCUAGCCUCGCAACCAAUCUUUUUAACCAGGUUGACCUCGGAUCAGGUAGGGAUACCCGCUGAAGUUAAGC
rnacentral:misc_RNA from 1 species